rnacentral:siRNA from 1 species
AUCGCGGAUCCGAAAGAUGUUGUC